rnacentral:rRNA from 1 species
UGGGGAAUAUUGGACAAUGGGCGCAAGCCUGAUCCAGCCAUGCCGCGUGAGUGAUGAAGGCCUUAGGGUUGUAAUGCUCUUUUGGCGGGGACGAUAAUGACGGUACCCGCAGAAUAAGCCCCGGCUAACUUCGUGCCAGCAGCCGCGGUAAUACGAAGGGGGCUAGCGUUGUUCGGAAUUACUGGGCGUAAAGCGCACGUAGGCGGAUCGGCAAGUCAGGGGUGAAAUCCCGGGGCUCAACCUCGGAACUGCCUCUGAUACUGCCAGUCUAGAGUCCGGAAGAGGUGGGUGGAAUUCCUAGUGUAGAGGUGAAAUUCGCAGAUAUUAGGAAGAACACCGGUGGCGAAGGCGGCCCACUGGUCCGGUACUGACGCUGAGGUGCGAAAGCGUGGGGAGCAAACAGGAUUAGAUACCCUAGUAGUCCCUGAGCGGGCUGGCAAGGCGCAU